rnacentral:tRNA from 6 species
UAGGAAGUGGUGUAGUGGAAGCACUAAGAGUUUUGAUCUCUUAAGGUGGGGUUCAAACCCCC